UGGGGAAUCUUCCGCAAUGGACGAAAGUCUGACGGAGCAACGCCGCGUGAGUGAAGAAGGUUUUCGGAUCGUAAAACUCUGUCUUUUGGGGCGAACGUGAGUAUGGUGAACAAUCAUAGUCAGUGACGGUACCAAAGGAGGAAGCCACGGCUAACUACGUGCCAGCAGCCGCGGUAAUACGUAGGUGGCAAGCGUUGUCCGGAAUUAUUGGGCGUAAAGAGCGCGUAGGCGGGAUAGUCAGUCUGUUGUAAAGUGCGGGGCUCAACCCCGUGAUCGCAAUGGAAACAGCUAUUCUUGAGUGCAGGAGAGGAAAGUGGAAUUCCCAGUGUAGCGGUGAAAUGCGUAGAUAUUGGGAGGAACACCAGUGGCGAAGGCGACUUUCUGGACUGUGUCUGACGCUGAGGCGCGAAAGCCAGGGGGAGGCGAACGGGGAUUUAGAUACCCCGGUAGUCCUGGGCCGUAAACGAUGGGUACUAGGUGUGGGAGGUAUCGACCCCCUUCCGUGCCGGAGUUAACGCAAUAAGUACCCCGCCUGGGGAGUACGGUCGC
rnacentral:rRNA from 1 species